rnacentral:ncRNA from 2 species
GCCUAAGUUUUUUGUUGCGGGCCCUUUACGGGCUAUAGGGAAAGCGGUGCAAAUCCGCUGCGGACCCGCCACUGUAAGUGGGAACGAAAGCCGCACACGCCACUGUUUCAAAGGGAAUGGGAAGGCGCGGCCGGUAGAUUGAUCCACGAGCCAGGAUACCUGCCGCAACAAAACCGUGUUA